UACGGAGGGUGCAAGCGUUAUCCGGAUUUACUGGGUUUAAAGGGUGCGUAGGUGGUUCGGUAAGUCGGAUGUGAAAUCUCCAGGCUCAACCUGGAGGGGUCAUUCGAUACUGCCGUGACUAGAGUUCGGUAGAGGAGUGUGGAAUUCCUGGUGGAGCGGUGAAAUGCGCAGAGAUCAGGAGGAACACCCGUAGCGAAGGCGGCACUCUGGGCCGUACCUGACGCUAAAGCGCGACAGCAUGGGGAGCAAACGGG
rnacentral:rRNA from 1 species